rnacentral:rRNA from 1 species
UACGUAGGGCGCAAGCGUUGUCCGGAUUUAUUGGGCGUAAAGAGCUCGUAGGCGGUUUGUCGCGUCGGAUGUGAAAACCCGGAACUCAACUCCGGGCCUGCAUUCGAUACGGGCAGACUUGAGUACUGCAGGGGAGACUGGAAUUCCUGGUGUAGCGGUGGAAUGCGCAGAGAUCCGGAGGAACACCAGUGGCGAAGGCGACACGCUGGGCCAUACCUGACGCUAAAGCGCGACAGCAUGGGGAGCAAACGGG